rnacentral:rRNA from 1 species
UUUGAUCCUGGCUCAGGACGAACGCUGGCGGCGUGCCUAAUACAUGCAAGUCGAGCGCAGGAAACCGGCGGAACCCUUCGGGGGGAAGCCGGUGGAAUGAGCGGCGGACGGGUGAGUAACACGUGGGCAACCUGCCUUUCAGACUGGGAUAACCCCGGGAAACCGGGGCUAAUACCGGAUAACCAGCCGGUUCGCAUGAACCGGCUGUAAAAGAGGGGAGUUUUCUCCUCUCACUGAAAGAUGGGCCCGCGGCGCAUUAGCUAGUUGGUAAGGUAGUGGCUUACCAAGGCGACGAUGCGUAGCCGACCUGAGAGGGUGAUCGGCCACACUGGAACUGAGACACGGUCCAGACUCCUACGGGAGGCAGCAGUAGGGAAUCAUCCACAAUGGGCGAAAGCCUGACGGUGCAACGCCGCGUGAACGACGAAGGUUUUCGGAUCGUAAAGUUCUGUUGUGAGGGAAGAWYWYGUKCYKGUCAAACAGGCCGGCACCUUGACGGUACCUCACGAGAAAGCCCCGGCUAACUACGUGCCAGCAGCCGCGGUAAUACGUAGGGGGCAAGCGUUGUCCGGAAUUAUUGGGCGUAAAGCGCGCGCAGGCGGUCUUGUAAGUCUGAUGUGAAAGCCCACGGCUCAACCGUGGAGGGUCAUUGGAAACUGCAGGACUUGAGUGUAGGAGAGGAAAGUGGAAUUCCACGUGUAGCGGUGAAAUGCGUAGAUAUGUGGAGGAACACCAGUGGCGAAGGCGACUUUCUGGCCUACAACUGACGCUGAGGCGCGAAAGCGUGGGGAGCAAACAGGAUUAGAUACCCUGGUAGUCCACGCCGUAAACGAUGAGUGCUAGGUGUUAGGGGUUUCGAUGCCCUUAGUGCCGAAGUUAACACAUUAAGCACUCCGCCUGGGGAGUACG